rnacentral:rRNA from 1 species
UACGUAGGGGGCUAGCGUUGUCCGGAAUCAUUGGGCGUAAAGAGCGUGUAGGCGGUCCGGUAAGUCCGCCGUGAAAGUCGGGGGCUCAACCCUCGAAUGCCGGUGGAUACUGUCGGGCUAGAGUGCGGAAGAGGCGAGUGGAAUUCCUGGUGUAGCGGUGAAAUGCGCAGAUAUCAGGAGGAACACCAAUGGCGAAGGCAGCUCGCUGGGACGGUACUGACGCUGGAGACGCGAAAGCGUGGGGAGCAAACAGG